CAGCAGACAAAGACUGUGCUUCUCGGGCCCGCCCGCGCGGCCCGGAGCAGGGGCUGUACAGUGGGUACACUGCGUCCUGGAGCCGGUAACCUUCAAACUACACUGCGAGGGGCAGCGCUCGCCUUGCUUCGGCCCUGGGGCCCCUCACGGUGUUUGGACGCGACUCAGCUGCUCAACCUCUUCGUCCUUGCCAGUGUCACGGGGACACUGUGGCGAGCACACGUGGAACGUCUUGACUCUCUAAGGCCUGCGGGAUUGGACGCCGCUAGUUGUGAAAGUUCGAGAAUGGCUUCCCACCUGGAGAAGCCUCCAAGACCCCGGGUCUCCUUAAGCGAACGAGCUGGGAGUCUGAGUUCCGAGCACGCCCCGGCAGGGCCGGAGACUUGAAUUUGAAUGACGCCGAGACGAACUUAUCAAACACAAGGGACCCAAGGAUGGAAGGGUGCCGCCAAGCCCGGAGGUGUUCCUGGGAACCGCUGAAGGUUGUGGAGAGAGGGAUGCUGCAGGACAGGGCUGGGAGCCGGCAGCAGACUAGAUGGGGGCAAACCUCAUGCAGCGCUGGGCCUUGGGACAGGGUGAGCUUGCUGAAGAGCAAGGAGCGCGCAGGUGCCGCUGACUUGGCAGAGCACUAAGGGAGACUAGAGGGCAGCCGAUGAGACAAGAACAACCCAUUCUGCUUAUGGCUUUUUUCUUUUUGAGACGGGAUCUUGAGGUGAAACUCGGGACCUCGCGCAUGCUUGGCAGGCAGGUGUGUAACUUGCUGAGCCUCGUUUCUCUACUGCUGUUGUUUUGUUUUUAAGAGAGCAUGCAUCAAAAAGCCAGAGAAGGACAGGUAGGAACUCGGGAGAGCCUGCCUUUAUAUGAUUGUCAUUCCUGGCCUUGGUUGUGUGGCGCUCUGACCCUCUGGGAGUGCUGGGGAAGGGCCCAGAAGCCUGGUACACAUCAGGUACUCCAUAGUUGAGCUUCAGAGCCAUUGGAAGGAGAGCCCAGGGACAGCCCCUGUAGGAAUCCAGUGGGACCUGGUGUGCUGUCCUCUGGGUACCUUGUAGGCCAAGCAUGGGUGGGCUAAUUGUGGUAGGGGCUGGUAUUAUAUCUGGAACUACUAGGUUUGGGGACAAAAAUGUGUGAGGGAAUGGGAGGCUAAGCUGAGGUUUCAUGCUGUCCUAGGUAGGUGAGGAUCUGUCCUGUGGGACUGAGUGUGUCCUCAAGGCCCACUGGUCUGCACCUUGAGGGGCAGGCACUGAUAGGGGAGAGAAUCACUUGAGACAGCAAUCUUGCUGAGAGCCCUUUGCACAGGCCUUUGGUGAUCUGGUUCAGAAGACAAGUCCAAAUACUUGACCUUGGUAGUUAGCUGGGAGGAGACCAGAAAGAACACCAGGUGCCCACACCUUGGGGCUGUAUUGUUUUAUUGUUUUCUUGCAUUUUACAAGGGUGAAAUGACAGCAGGAAUGUAUCUACUUCUUCAAACUCUGCUCCAGAGGCACUGGGGUCCAUUUAGCUCUGAGGAUUCCAGCCAAAGGGCAAACAGUAGGAGAGAGGCAGUGUGGGGAAGGAACUGUCUGUCACUGCCCAAAGGGCACACAGUAGGAAAGAGGCGGUGUGGGGAAGGAACCUUCACUGCCCACAGGGACAUGUUUUGUUUGGAAACAUCUUUCCUGAGUUCUUACGUAAGACAGGCCCAGUCUAGAAACAGAACAGACAGUGGGCAAAGAGAAGCAUCAUAUCCUUCGAUCUCCCUACCCUGGAACCUGUACACUGAGUGACAGAAGGGGCUGUCUUACUUGAUAUGAAAUCCACGCUCAAUGCCAAGGACACAGGAGGACCAUAAUGAUAUGGCUGCACCCACUCAACUUCCAGCCUUCUGCUCAGCUCAGGUUUCACAUGCCAAACUUGUUCCUGCCUCAGGGCCUUCGUGCAGGCUGCUCCUUCUGGGGAGCCCUUCCCCUAACCUAGCUCUGCAACUUGGGCUCUAUCCAGUUCUCUCUUAAGGUGCUGAUUGGCGCACCACUGUGGUCUGAAUGACCUCUCCCCGCGGUUCCAGGUAGAAAUCCUAGUCCCCGAGGUGAUGACAUUUGGAAGUAGGGCCUUACUGGCUAACAGUGUCUCCCUUCUCUAGGGACGCCUGUCUUGUGAAAGGCAAGGGUGGCUCCAGUUGUUUGAAAUGUAUUUUUUAGAAUUAAGAAAAAAAUUUCUAGGGGCAGAGAAAUGGUUCAGCAGUUAAGAGCGCUCCCUACU